rnacentral:rRNA from 1 species
AAUGAACGCUGGCGGCGUGGUUAAGACAUGCAAGUCGAACGGUUUUUAUUGAAGGGCAACCGGAUAUAAAAGCAGUGGCGAACGGGUGCGUAACACGUGAACAAUCUACCUUUUAGUGGGGAAUAGCUCGCCGAAAGGCGAAUUAAUACCGCAUGUGGUUGCUUCUCGCAUGAGAGGCAUACCAAAGUCAGGGACCGCAAGGCCUGCCGUUAAAAGAGGAGUUCGCGGCCUAUCAGCUAGUUGGCGAGAUAACGGCUCACCAAGGCUAAAACGGGUAGCUGGUCUGAGAGGAUGAUCAGCCACACCGGGACUGAGACACUGCCCAGACUCCGACGGGAGGCUGCAGUAGAGAAUCUUUCGCAAUGGGGGAAACCCUAACGACGCGACGCCGCGUGGAGGAUGAAGGUCUUCGGAUUGUAAACUCCUGUCAGCUGGGGAGAACAAGUUGCCGGUGAAUAACCGGCAGCCUUGACAGUACCAGCAGAGGAAGCCACGGCUAACUCUGUGCCAGCAGCCGCUGUAAGAC